rnacentral:rRNA from 1 species
UUGCUAAAAAAUUAAUAGUUAUGUUCUUUAAAUUUAAAAAAUUUGGCGGUAUUUUAGUCUUAUUAGAGGAACCUGUUUAUUAAUUGAUAAUCCACGAUUAAUUUUACUUAUUUUAAAAAUUCAUAUAUCGCUGUCAUGAAUAUAUUUAAAAAUUUAUUUUCUUUAAUUAAUAUUCUAAUUUAUGUUAAGUCAAGAUGUGGUUAAUUUAUAAGAUUUUAAUGGGUUACAUUAAAUUUUAUUUAUGGAUUUAAGAUGAAAAUUAUUAUGAAAUUGGAUUUAAUAGUAAAUUUAUUUAUUUAAUUAAUAUGAAUAUAGAUCUAAAAUAUGUACAUAUUGCCCGUCAUUCUUAUAAAAAAUAAGACAAGUCGUAACAAAGUAAAUGUACUGGAAAGUGUAUUUAGAAAGAAUUUUAUAUAAA